rnacentral:rRNA from 1 species
CACGUAGUUAGCCGGGGCUUCUUAGUCAGGUACCGUCAUCUUCUUCCCUGCUGAUAGAGCUUUACAUACCGAAAUACUUCAUCGCUCACGCGGCGUCGCUGCAUCAGGGUUUCCCCCAUUGUGCAAUAUUCCCCACUGCUGCCUCCCGUAGGAGUUUGGGCCGUGUCUCAGUCCCAAUGUGGCCGGUCACCCUCUCAGGUCGGCUACUGAUCGUCGCCUUGGUGGGCCGUUACCUCACCAACUAGCUAAUCAGACGCGGGCCCAUCUCAUACCACCGGAGUUUUUACCGCUGUACCAUGCGGUACCGCGGUCUUAUGCGGUAUUAGCAGUCAUUUCUAACUGUUAUCCCCCUGUAUGAGGUAGGUUGCCCACGCGUUACUCACCCGUCCGCCGCUCAGUCAUUCCGUUCUUCCUCCGAAGAUUCAAAACGAAGUGCUUCGCUCGACUUGCAUGUGUUAAGCACGCCGCCAGCGUUCAUCCUGAGCCAGGAUCAAACUCU